GAUGAACGCUAGCGGCAGGCUUAACACAUGCAAGUCGAGGGGCAGCAUAAUGGAUAGCAAUAUCUAUGGUGGCGACCGGCGCACGGGUGCGUAACGCGUAUGCAACCUACCUUUAACAGGGGGAUAACACUGAGAAAUUGGUACUAAUACCCCAUAAUAUCAUAGAAGGCAUCUUUUAUGGUUGAAAAUUCCGAUGGUUAGAGAUGGGCAUGCGUUGUAUUAGCUAGUUGGUGGGGUAACGGCUCACCAAGGCGACGAUACAUAGGGGGACUGAGAGGUUAACCCCCCACACUUGUACUGCGACACGGACCAGACUCCUACGGGAGGCAGCAGUGAGGAAUAUUGGUCAAUGGACGCAAGUCUGAACCAGCCAUGCCGCGUGCAGGAUGACGGCUCUAUGAGUUGUAAACUGCUUUUGUACGAGGGUAAACGCAGAUACGUGUAUCUGUCUGAAAGUAUCGUACGAAUAAGGAUCGGCUAACUCCGUG
rnacentral:rRNA from 1 species